GCCGGGCAUGGUGGCGCAUGCCUGUAAUCCCAGCUACUCGGGAGGCUGAGGCGGGAGAAUUGCUUGAACCUGGGAGGUGGAGAUUGCAGUGAGCUGAGAUCGCAACAUUGCACUCCAGCCUGGGCAACAAGGCAAAACUCCGUCUCAA
ensembl:misc_RNA Metazoa_SRP Metazoan signal recognition particle RNA